CAGUGUCAGUUAGUAGGUGGAGGGGAGCAGUUCUUACCAAAAGCCUGCAACUGCAUCUCAUUGCGCUGGUAACUGUAAAAAGAGGACGAGAUUCACUCCUCGCUGCAAGCCUGUGUUAUGAUGAAGGUGGCGUCAUCGCUCUACCUGUGAUCAUCAAGGUGUAUGUGGAGGUUUGGGCGACGGACACGAACCUUGACUCUCAAAGCUUGCUGCUCUUCCAGGCCACUGCAAGG